rfam:Tetrahymena thermophila SB210 genomic scaffold scf_8254674, whole genome shotgun sequence.
CCAGAGGCCUUUUUCAAGGCUAUAUACACAAAUUUUUACAAAUUA